GCCUUCUUAGCUCAGUGGUAGAGUACUGGUCUCGUAAACCAGGGGUCGUGAGUUCGAACUUCGCAGAAGGCA
rnacentral:tRNA from 1 species